rnacentral:rRNA from 1 species
UACGUAGGGUGCAAGCGUUGUUCGGAAUUACUGGGCGUAAAGCGCGCGCAGGCGGUUCUUUAAGUCAGGGGUGAAAGCCCAGAGCUCAACUCUGGAAUUGCCUUUGAAACUAGAGAACUUGGGUACGGGAGAGGUGAGUGGAAUUCCGAGUGUAGAGGUGAAAUUCGUAGAUAUUCGGAAGAACACCAGUGGCGAAGGCGGCUCACUGGCCCGUUACCGACGCUCAGGCGCGACAGCGUGGGGAGCAAACAGG